AAGUCGUAACAAGGUUUCCGUAGGUGAACCUGCGGAAGGAUCAUUACCAAAGUUUUACACUUUUGUAUGUGCACAGUAGGCCUGCCCUGGUGGUCCGACACUAGUUGUUGGGCCACCGUGUAACCACGUAUACUUAUCAGCUGACUUUUAUAUAAACAAAAUAAAAGACAACUUUUAGCAACGGAUCUCUAGGCUCUC
rnacentral:misc_RNA from 1 species